rnacentral:rRNA from 1 species
CCUACGGGUGGCAGCAGUGAGGAAUAUUGGUCAAUGGGCGAGAGCCUGAACCAGCCAAGUCGCGUGAGGGAAUACGGCCCUAUGGGUUGUAAACCUCUUUUGUCGGGGAGCAAAAGCCGGACGUGUCCGGCUGUGAGAGUACCCGAAGAAAAAGCAUCGGCUAACUCCGUGCCAGCAGCCGCGGUAAUACGGAGGAUGCGAGCAGUAUCCGGAUUUAUUGGGUUUAAGGGGUGCGCAGGCGGAUUUUUAAGUCAGCGGUAAAAUCGUGGGGCUCAACCCCAUCCAGCCGUUGAAACUGGGGAUCUAGAGUGUGCGAGAGGUAUGCGGAAUGCGUGGUGUAGCGGUGAAAUGCAUAGAUAUCACGCAGAACCCCGAUUGCGAAGGCAGCAUACCGGUGCACAACUGACGCUCAGGCACGAAAGCGUGGGUAUCGAACAGGAUUAGAUACCCUAGUAGUC